rnacentral:rRNA from 1 species
GACGAACGCUGGCGGCGUGCUUAACACAUGCAAGUCGAACGGAAAGGCCCUGCCUUUGUGGGGUGCUCGAGUGGCGAACGGGUGAGUAACCCGUGCGUAACCUGCCCUUGACUUUGGGAUAACUUCAGGAAACAGGGGCUCAUACAGGAUAGGAGCUCCUGAUGCAUGGUGGGGGUUGGAAUGUUUCGGCGGUUGGGGGUGGACUCGCGGCUUAUCAGCUUGUUGGUGGGGUAGUGGCAUACCAAGGCUUUGACGGGUAGCCGGCAUGAGAGGGUGGCCGGCCACAAGAGGCCUGCGAGACGGCGCAGACGCCUACGGUAGGCAGAGGGGGGAAAUAUUGUACAAUGAGCGGAAGCGUGAGGCGACGGCGCCGGGUUCGGAAUGUGGGCCUGCGGGGUGUGAACCGCUUUCGCCUAAGACGAAGCGUGAGUGACGGUAAUGGAAAAAGAAGCACCGGCUAACUACGUG